rnacentral:rRNA from 1 species
GAUGAACGCUGGCGGCGUGCCUAAUACAUGCAAGUCGAACGAACAGACGAGGAGCUUGCUCCUCUGACGUUAGCGGCGGACGGGUGAGUAACACGUGGAUAACCUACCUUUAAGACUGGGAUAACAUCGGGAAACGGGAGCUAAUACCGCAUAAUAUAUUGAACCGCCUUGUUCAAUAGUGAAAGGGGGUUUUGCUGUCUCGUAUAGACGCGCCCGCGCUGCAUUAGCUAGUUGGUAAGGUACCGACUUACCCAGGCGACGAUGCGUAGCCGACCUGAGAGGGUGAACUGCCAGACUGACACUGAGACAGAGUCCAGACUCCUACAGGGGGAAGCAGUAGGGAAUCUUCCGCGAUGGAGGAAAGCGUGACAGUGCAACGUGGCGGGAGUGAUGAAGGACUUCGGACCGUAAGACUCUGUAAGUAGGGAGAAACAAAUGUGUAGGUAUCAAGGCCCGUCUUGACGGUACCUAAUCAGAAAGCCACGGCUAACUACGUG